UUGAGAAAGUCGAAUAUAACGUCUGUUAGCAACGGUCACUCGGUGUAUACUGGCCUUGAACCGAUCACAAAUUCUGACAGGACGACUGACAUUGACAGGACAAAUUACAAUGAUGAGACAACUGACAUUGACAUUGAGAAAGAAAACAGAAAAGAAAGUAGUAACUGAUAUCACAUGUGCAAAUCAAAACUUAUAUCUUAUUAGUACAUAUUAGUUAAAAUCUUUACUGAAUUUGUAUCCUAAUCAUUACAUGCAGAAAAUCGAUUCCAUAAGACUGACACAGUGGACUUUACACGUGAAGAGGAUUAAAAUUUCUUAAAGCAUUCACACACCAACGCUGGGUUUGCUAAAGAAGAUCCGAAAACUCACAGAGGUCCAUAUCGUCAGCAACAAAACUUUAAGAAAUUUUAUCCAACCAAUUUGAGGUUAGUUGGAUAGUUCCAAGGCUACCCAGAGCAGAAUGCCUACUCUCAGGCCACGACCGGAACGAUUGAGCAUCGUUAGAGAACUCUCGGAGGAAGAAGCAGCCACAGAAGCU